CACUUUGAAGUUGGACUUGUUUAUGCUUAGGAAAAAAUUACAAUGCCAGUCAGGAGACUUCUGUCAGUUAUCUGUUUUCAAAUGGAUUUGAAAGUUAUGUGGGUUUUGAAACAAUUGGAUUAUAAGUUUAAGCUUGUGGAUAUGUUUCGUAUGUAUAUGGAUCCAGGAAUAACUUGAAAUGGAGGUGACCAUUUUGCCUUGACAGUAAGGAAGUUAAAUGAGUAGCAGAUAACCUUCAAGAAUAUGAAUACACAUUACAUACAUUCGUUAAUUACAAAUAAUCAAGCAAGAUAAUGAAAACCAAGUCAUAUUUCUUCAGCAUCUAUCCACAAGUUGUGGAAUAUGAGGUGCUAGAUUAAAUAGGAAAUGUUUGAGGAAACUUUAUCAUUAUGGCAACAAACGAUAUGUUUUAAUUUAGUAUGAAAUGGUUGAUUAAAGUGGGCAAAACAUAUACAUGUACUGAAAUUUUUUUUUAAUUUAUUAUGAUUUUAAUUAAAUUCUGAACUUUAGAUGAAUUUUUCUUUUGCAUAAAAUUGAGAAUGGAAAUGGGGAAUGUGUCAAAGAGACAACAACCCGACCAUAGAAAAAACAACAGCAGAAGGUCACCAACAGGUCUUCAAUGUAGCGAGAAAUUCCCACACCCGGUGGCAUUCAAUGGAUGAAUUUAUUAAUUUCAGUGCAAUCUUUGAACAUAUAUAUAUAUAUAUAUAUAUAUAUAAAAUGUACUAUUUUCUUUGUUACUAUAUAAAAGUUUACAUUUUAUUUUAUUAGAAAAAUGAUAAUAUACAUGAAAACAUCAUUAUUAAAAACACAAUACAAAAACGUUCUUCUUCAAAACACUUUAGAGCAAAGACCAGAUAAGAUAAAUGAAUUCAUAGAAGAAUUAACAAUGUGGAAGGAAAAAAAAUACCAGCUUUAAAAUGACAGAAAUAAACAAAUCAAAGCUUGUAAUAUGAUUUGAGAGUCCUUAAUGUCCUUAAUUCAAGACCCAAUGUUUAGGUUGGUUUUUUUGUUAGCCUUCUGUGUUAGGUUGCUGACUCGUUACAAAUCUUCUACUAAAAACAAACAAUAACUGCUACAUGUACUAUGUUACUAAGUGGUAACAUGAUACGUCAGUAUUUUUUAGGCUAAACAAAAAUGAUAAUAAAAUUGCAUUUGAGUUAAAGAUAUUAUUAAAAACUUCCCUUUUCGAUUAAAAACAUAUUUUUUAUGCACUCGUUUAACUUUUAACAUAUGCUUUCUGAGGCAUAAAAAUCUGCAUUUUGUAAACAUGAUAAAAUGUAAAUUACUGAACUUAGAUGAACUUGCAUCAAAUUAUCUUUGGUUCAUAUGCAUAAGAAAUUUUAUCAUCGCUGCAUAUUAAAGUUACCUGUAAGCAAUAGCGGUGAUGAAGUCACCUUGGUUUGGUGUAGAUAUUGAUGAAACAAGAAUGUGUCACUGUAGUCAACACAUGUUACUACUUUGUAAGAUAGGGGAAGAACUAUUUCUUUUCUAUUUUUACAAAUUUUCUAAAGGUUAAAGUUUGCGUUUGAUUUGUAAAUACAAUUAUUUAUUUAUUUUGAAGAAGAAAAAAAAAUGGAAGGGGAGGGAAAGCAGACAGCUAGAUUAUAGUAACUAUGGUAUAGCUUCUGUAAAUAUCAUUCUAUCACCAGUUACCUUUGGCAUGAAACAUAUUUUACCGCAGAUGCAGAUCCAAAUGUUGAAUCGCUCAGUGAACCUCUAUUUAUCUGCCCCUGAUGAGCAAUGACAGAGAAUUAUUAUAAUUCAUCACCAGAAUUUGCUGCUGGCAUUUGAUAAAAUCCAAAUCAAAGGAAAACAGUAUUUUUUAUUGCUGUUCUUUAUCUUAAAGUAACAGUGCAAUAUUGAGUAAAAUCUCACACAUCAUUGCAAAUUUUAGACUGCCUCAAGAACCAUUUUGGUUACUGUCGAUAAUCAUAGAAAAAUACUGCAUAUGAUCUUGGUCACUGUGCAACUUAAAAUAGACUUUCAUUAUUACACAGCAUAACAUUUUAAAGGAGAGUGGUUUUCAUAAGGGGCUGAUUCCUGCUUUAAUUUUAUAUACUCUUUUGGAUGUAAUAUAUGUGGAAUGUGUCUAGACUGGAUAAAUAUGAUUUUACUCUGAUUCCUGGUUCACAGUUAAAUGAUCAUUCAAUUUUAAGAAUGAAACCAUCCAAUGCAUAUUCAUUGUGUGAUAAACAGUAUUUGAUAAUCGUUUAGUGCCAUUAAGAUUGUGAAAUAUAAAUAUGCAUUAAGUUCAUCAUUAUGGUAUGAACAUAGCAUUAAUCUAAAUAUUCUGCUAAGUCUCAAGAAUAAUUAGCUUACAAUAAAUAGUUAUCAGAUAUUAAAUUAUACCUAAGAAUUCAUAUUUUAUCAUUGUAUCUUAUUGUAUGUUAUUACUUACAGAAUAUUGUUAAAGAAAUGGAACAGAAAGAUAAUGAUUUUUAUUAGGUAUAAAUUAAUUUUAUUAAAGAUUUUGUAUGAAAAUAUAAAGACACAUUCUAAGGAUAUAUUUGGUCUGUGAAUGGAAACCUAUAAAUAAUACAGUAGGAACCGACUAACAUAACUAUUUUGUUCUUUUGGCAGCUGAUGGGCUCUUGAAAAAGAAAGAGAAAAUCAUAAAGAUUUGAAGCACUUUAGUUUAUUGCAUGGUUUGUUGUUAGAUGUCAGGAAAAUAUUCUGGGGAAUGCCAUUUUAUUCCACUCACAGAACUUACUGAAAGAAGAUCUUUGCAAAGCUUAACCACUUAAAACGUAAUGAGCCACACAUGUUCAGAAUCAAGAGGAUGGUACAAAAAACUUCUUUAGUUUUAAAAUUUAUUUACAAAAUUUACACACCAACUCAACACUAUUAGGCUAGAAUUUCAGUUGUAGAAUGUUAUAAACGAAAGUGUCACUGUAGUAAAAACAUCAAAGC
rnacentral:lncRNA from 1 species